AACGAACGCUGGCGGCGUGCCUAACACAUGCAAGUCAAGCGAGAAGGUCCGCAAGGAUGAGUACAGCGGCGCACGGGCGCGUAACACGUGGGUAAUCUGCCCUGAAGCCCGGAAUAACCUCCCGAAAGGGAAGCUAAUGCCGGAUAAGACCACGGGAGCCUCGGCUCCUGCGGGAAAAGGUGGCCUCUGCACGCAAGCUAUCACUUCAGGAUGAGCCCGCGGCCCAUCAGCUCGGUGGCGGGGCAACGGCCCACCAAGGCUACGACGGGUAGCUGGCAUGAGAGGACGAUCAGCCACACUGAAACUGGGACACCGUCCAGAUGGCGAGGGGAGGAAGCAGUAGGGAAGUUUGCGGAAUGGGGGAAAGCCUGACGCAGCAACGCCGGGUGGGUGAUGAAGGUCUUCGGAUCGUAAAGCACUGUCGGGAGGAAAGAACAAGCCUGUGGCUAACAUCCACGGGCCUUGACGGUACCUCCAAAGGAAGCACCGGCUAACUCUGUGCCAGCAGCCGCCGUAACAC
rnacentral:rRNA from 1 species